UACAGAGGUCCCAAGCGUUGUUCGGAUUCACUGGGCGUAAAGGGUGCGUAGGCGGUCGGGUAAGUCUGAUGUGAAAUCUCACAGCUUAACUGUGAAACUGCAUUGGAUACUAUCCGGCUCGAGGAAUGGAGAGGAGACUGGAAUACUUGGUGUAGCAGUGAAAUGCGUAGAUAUCAGGAGGAACACCGGUGGCGAAGGCGGGUCUCUGGGCCGUAACUGACGCUGAGGAGCGAAAGCGUGGGGAGCGAACAGG
rnacentral:rRNA from 1 species